rnacentral:tRNA from 1 species
CCCGCGAGGUAGAGAGACACUAAAGUGCAAAUUUAGAGACGCACCCCAAUAGGUGCCGGGGCUUCUCCCGUUUUACAGAGACGGGAGAAGG